UACGAAGGGUGCAAGCGUUACUCGGAAUUACUGGGCGUAAAGCGUGCGUAGGUGGUGGUUUAAGUCUGCUGUGAAAGCCCUGGGCUCAACCUGGGAAUUGCAGUGGAAACUGGGUCACUAGAGUGUGGUAGAGGGAUGCGGAAUUUCCGGUGUAGCAGUGAAAUGCGUAGAGAUCGGAAGGAACAUCCGUGGCGAAGGCGGCAUCCUGGGCCAACACUGACACUGAGGCACGAAAGCGUGGGGAGCAAAC
rnacentral:rRNA from 1 species